UACGGAGGGUGCAAGCGUUAUCCGGAUUCACUGGGUUUAAAGGGUGCGUAGGUGGCUUUGUAAGUCAGUGGUGAAAUCCCGGAGCUUAACUCCGGAACUGCCAUUGAUACUGCUUAGCUUGAAUUAGGUUGAGGUGGAUGGAAUGUAACAUGUAGCGGUGCAAUGCUUAGAUAUGUUACAGAACACCAAUUGCGAAGGCAGUUCACUAAGCCUAUAUUGACUCUGAGGCACGAAAGCGUGGUGAUCCAACAUU
rnacentral:rRNA from 1 species